AAGGUUAAGCCUCACGGUUCAUUAGUACCGGUUAGCUCAACGCAUCGCUGCGCUUACACACCCGGCCUAUCAACGUCGUCGUCUUCAACGUUCCUUCAGGACUCUCAAGGAGUCAGGGAGAACUCAUCUCGGGGCAAGUUUCGUGCUUAGAUGCUUUCAGCACUUAUCUCUUCCGCAUUUAGCUACCGGGCAGUGCCAUUGGCAUGACAACCCGAACACCAGUGAUGCGUCCACUCCGGUCCUCUCGUACUAGGAGCAGCCCCCCUCAGUUCUCCAGCGCCCACGGCAGAUAGGGACCGAACUGUCUCACGACGUUCUAAACCCAGCUCGCGUACCACUUUAAAUGGCGAACAGCCAUACCCUUGGGACCUACUUCAGCCCCAGGAUGUGAUGAGCCGACAUCGAGGUGCCAAACACCGCCGUCGAUAUGAACUCUUGGGCGGUAUCAGCCUGUUAUCCCCGGAGUACCUUUUAUCCGUUGAGCGAUGGCCCUUCCAUUCAGAACCACCGGAUCACUAUGACCUGCUUUCGCACCUGCUCGCGCCGUCACGCUCGCAGUCAAGCUGGCUUAUGCCAUUGCACUAACCUCCUGAUGUCCGACCAGGAUUAGCCAACCUUCGUGCUCCUCCGUUACUCUUUAGGAGGAGACCGCCCCAGUCAAACUACCCACCAGACACUGUCCGCAACCCGGAUUACGGGUCAACGUUAGAACAUCAAACAUUAAAGGGUGGUAUUUCAAGGUCGGCUCCAUGCAGACUGGCGUCCACACUUCAAAGCCUCCCACCUAUCCUACACAUCAAGGCUCAAUGUUCAGUGUCAAGCUAUAGUAAAGGUUCACGGGGUCUUUCCGUCUUGCCGCGGGUACACUGCAUCUUCACAGCGAGUUCAAUUUCACUGAGUCUCGGGUGGAGACAGCCUGGCCAUCAUUACGCCAUUCGUGCAGGUCGGAACUUACCCGACAAGGAAUUUCGCUACCUUAGGACCGUUAUAGUUACGGCCGCCGUUUACCGGGGCUUCGAUCAAGAGCUUCGCUUGCGCUAACCCCAUCAAUUAACCUUCCGGCACCGGGCAGGCGUCACACCGUAUACGUCCACUUUCGUGUUUGCACAGUGCUGUGUUUUUAAUUAAACAGUUGCAGCCAGCUGGUAUCUUCGACUGAUUUCAGCUCCAUCCGCGAGGGACUUCACCUACAUAUCAGCGUGCCUUCUCCCGAAGUUACGGCACCAUUUUGCCUAGUUCCUUCACCCGAGUUCUCUCAAGCGCCUUGGUAUUCUCUACCUGACCACCUGUGUCGGUUUGGGGUACGAUUUGAUGUUACCUGAUGCUUAGAGGCUUUUCCUGGAAGCAGGGCAUUUGUUGCUUCAGCACCGUAGUGCCUCGUCAUCACGCCUCAGCCUUGAUUUUCCGGAUUUGCCUGGAAAACCAGCCUACACGCUUAAACCGGGACAACCGUCGCCCGGCCAACAUAGCCUUCUCCGUCCCCCCUUCGCAGUAACACCAAGUACAGGAAUAUUAACCUGUUUCCCAUCGACUACGCCUUUCGGCCUCGCCUUAGGGGUCGACUCACCCUGCCCCGAUUAACGUUGGACAGGAACCCUUGGUCUUCCGGCGAGCGGGCUUUUCACCCGCUUUAUCGUUACUUAUGUCAGCAUUCGCACUUCUGAUACCUCCAGCAUGCCUCACAGCACACCUUCACAGGCUUACAGAACGCUCCCCUACCCAACAACGCAUAAGCGUCGCUGCCGCAGCUUCGGUGCAUGGUUUAGCCCCGUUACAUCUUCCGCGCAGGCCGACUCGACCAGUGAGCUAUUACGCUUUCUUAAAUGAUGGCUGCUUCUAAGCCAACAUCCUGGCUGUCUGGGCCUUCCCACAUCGUUUCCCACUUAACCAUGACUUUGGGACCUUAGCUGGCGGUCUGGGUUGUUUCCCUCUUCACGACGGACGUUAGCACCCGCCGUGUGUCUCCCGUGAUAACAUUCUCCGGUAUUCGCAGUUUGCAUCGGGUUGGUAAGUCGGGAUGACCCCCUUGCCGAAACAGUGCUCUACCCCCGGAGAUGAAUUCACGAGGCGCUACCUAAAUAGCUUUCGGGGAGAACCAGCUAUCUCCCGGUUUGAUUGGCCUUUCACCCCCAGCCACAAGUCAUCCGCUAAUUUUUCAACAUUAGUCGGUUCGGUCCUCCAGUUAGUGUUACCCAACCUUCAACCUGCCCAUGGCUAGAUCACCGGGUUUCGGGUCUAUACCCUGCAACUUAACGCCCAGUUAAGACUCGGUUUCCCUUCGGCUCCCCUAUUCGGUUAACCUUGCUACAGAAUAUAAGUCGCUGACCCAUUAUACAAAAGGUACGCAGUCACACAGAUUGCUCUGUGCUCCCACUGCUUGUACGUACACGGUUUCAGGUUCUUUUUCACUCCCCUCGCCGGGGUUCUUUUCGCCUUUCCCUCACGGUACUGGUUCACUAUCGGUCAGUCAGGAGUAUUUAGCCUUGGAGGAUGGUCCCCCCAUAUUCAGACAGGAUACCACGUGUCCCGCCCUACUCAUCGAGCUCACAGCAUGUGCAUUUUUGUGUACGGGGCUGUCACCCUGUAUCGCGCGCCUUUCCAGACGCUUCCACUAACACACAUACUGAUUCAGGCUCUGGGCUGCUCCCCGUUCGCUCGCCGCUACUGGGGGAAUCUCGGUUGAUUUCUUUUCCUCGGGGUACUUAGAUGUUUCAGUUCCCCCGGUUAGCCUCAUUAACCUAUGGAUUCAGUUAAUGAUAGUGUGUCGAAUCACACUGGGUUUCCCCAUUCGGAAAUCGCCGGUUAUAACGGUUCAUAUCACCUUACCGACGCUUAUCGCAGAUUAGCACGUCCUUCAUCGCCUCUGACUGCCAGGGCAUCCACCGUGUACGCUUAGUCGCUUAA
rnacentral:rRNA from 1 species